rnacentral:miRNA from 1 species
UACUUCAUGAAGGUUUCCUUGUG